GUAGGUGAACCUGCGGAAGGAUCAUUAACACGUAUCCACGUAUCAACCAAACGGUAACUGUACCUCCCUGGUAAUUGUUGAGCUGUUUAAUUGAGUCAUGGUGGGUAUGCAUUCGUGCAUACGACUCGGUUCGACUAGGGCUUCGAGCUCAAGGCGCAACGCUUUAUCAGGCUUUUCUUUCCCAUCAUACCUUUCCAUCUUAAGGUACGACGAGAAUCUAACCAACCUAUUUAACCCUACUUAAUACAUUAGACUAAUACUAUUCACUUGGAGAAAUCCAAGCCUGAAUUGAGUUAUCUUAACUAAGCACAACUCUUAGCAAUGGAUAUCUUGGUUCUC
rnacentral:misc_RNA from 1 species